UACGGGGGGGCAAGCGUUGUUCGGAAUUACUGGGCGUAAAGGGCUCGUAGGCGGCCAACUAAGUCAGACGUGAAAUCCCUCGGCUUAACCGGGGAACUGCGUCUGAUACUGGAUGGCUUGAGUUUGGGAGAGGGAUGCGGAAGUUCCAGGUGUAGCGGUGAAAUGCGUAGAUAUCUGGAGGAACACCGGUGGCGAAGGCGGCAUCCUGGACCAACACUGACGCUGAGGAGCGAAAGCCAGGGAGCAAACGGG
rnacentral:rRNA from 1 species